rnacentral:rRNA from 1 species
AACGAACGCUGGCGGCAUGCCUAACACAUGCAAGUCGAACGAGACCUUCGGGUCUAGUGGCGCACGGGUGCGUUACGCGUGGGAACCUGCCCUUAGGUUCGGAAUAACUCCCCGAAAGGGGUGCUAAUACCGGAUAAUGUCUUCGGACCAAAGAUUUAUCGCCUUUGGAUGGGCCCGCGUUGGAUUAGCUAGUUGGUAGGGUAAAAGCCUACCAAGGCGACGAUCCAUAGCUGGUCUGAGAGGAUGAUCAGCCACACUGGGACUGAGACACGGCCCAGACUCCUACGGGAGGCAGCAGUGGGGAAUAUUGGACAAUGGGCGAAAGCCAGAUCCAGCAAUGCCGCGUGAGUGAUGAAGGCCUUAGGGUUGUAAAGCUCUUUUACCCGGGAUGAUAAUGACAGUACCGGGAGAAUAAGCUCCGGCUAACUCCGUG